rnacentral:lncRNA from 1 species
GAUGGUAUAUAAAAAUAUUCGAGUUAACUUUAUUUUCAUGUGAACAUUAUUAAGAAAAAUUUGUAAAAUCGAAAGCUGGAUGAUUGAUUGAGUUAAUUUUAAUAUUUAGUGUAAUUUUUUUAUUUUAGAAAAAUAGUGUUGUGACUAUGGCUUUAUAAUUUAUUUAAGUAAUAUUUUUUGGACUUUAACUACUGACCCUUGGCAGCGGUCCUUUGUAUUGUUCUCACAAAUAGGGUACAUCCCUGUUUUCUCAAAAAAAAAAAUUCUAUAAUUAGAAUAUUUAUGAUGUACAUAAUUGUGAUACUUAGCAAAUGUUAUAUAUUUUUUGGUAUUUUUAAAAUGUAAGGAUCGGAAAAAAAAAAAAAAA